UACGAAGGGUGCAAGCGUUACUCGGAAUUACUGGGCGUAAAGCGUGCGUAGGUGGUUUGUUAAGUCUGUUGUGAAAGCCCCGGGCUCAACCUGGGAAUGGCAAUGGAUACUGGCAAGCUAGAGUGCGGUAGAGGGUAGUGGAAUUCCCGGUGUAGCGGUGAAAUGCGUAGAGAUCGGGAGGAACACCAGUGGCGAAGGCGGCUACCUGGACCAGCACUGACACUGAGGCACGAAAGCGUGGGGAGCAAC
rnacentral:rRNA from 1 species